rnacentral:lncRNA from 1 species
GAGAGGGUUUGACUUCCCCUUUUCCUACUUGGAUGCCUUUUGUAUCUCUUGUUCAAUUUCUCUGGCUAGGAUUUCCAGUAUUAUGUUCAAUAGGAGGAAUGAGAAUGGGCAUCCUUAUCUUGUUUUGGUUCUCAAGGGGAAUACCUCCAGCUUUUGCCCAUUCAGUAUGAUGUUGGCUGUGGGUCUGUGAUAGAUGGCUUUUAUUAUUCUAAGUUCACUUUUCAGGGGGACUAACAGCAUUUCUGAGUCUCCUGAGUCAAGAUCGUGUGAAGUUACAUCAUUUGGCAGUAAGGAAGCCAACAAGAUCAGCAAACCAUGUGUCAGCAUUUGUCUGCAGUCGUUGUUUCAGCCAUGAAGAAGGAGAGAAUUCUGCAUUUUGAUCAAAUCAAGUGCAAAGACACAAACGGUCUUGGGAGAGGAGGUUCAAGUGAGAAUCACAAGAGAGCAGGAAUUAUGAACCUAGGGCGAUCACAGGAACCUAGGUCCCUGCAAUACAUAGAAAUCUAAUGGGUCUACACAGUAUAGGAGGCAGCAUGUGUGGGUAGGUAUAUUCCAAUGUUUACUAUGUUUGUGCAAGUAUAGUAUUACAAUAAGGUUAUGACUCCAUUUCUUAAUGUUUGUCUGCUAACAACUUUUAAGCUUCUCCUCUUCCUUUUCCUCUUUUUUCCCAUAUGUGGGCAACCUGAUUAGAAAGCCUAAUACUUUCUCCUUUGGCACCUGCAGGAAGUUCAAGCCGCAUACAGGAAUCCUCACCUCAGUCUUCCUCUCUGAUUACAUAAAAACCCCAUGCUAGUCUUUUUUCCCUCCUCUGUCAAACUACUUUUGGAUUUGCUUGGAAUCUAUCUUCCUCAAAAAGCCUCA